rnacentral:rRNA from 1 species
GGUAAUACGGAGGGUGCGAGCGUUAAUCGGAAUUACUGGGCGUAAAGCGCAUGCAGGUGGUUUGUUAAGUCAGAUGUGAAAGCCCGGGGCUCAACCUCGGAAUAGCAUUUGAAACUGGCAGACUAGAGUACUGUAGAGGGGGGUAGAAUUUCAGGUGUAGCGGUGAAAUGCGUAGAGAUCUGAAGGAAUACCGGUGGCGAAGGCGGCCCCCUGGACAGAUACUGACACUCAGAUGCGAAAGCGUGGGGAGCAAACAGGAUUAGAUACCCUGGUAGUCCACGCCGUAAACGAUGUCUACUUGGAGGUUGUGGCCUUGAGCCGUGGCUUUCGGAGCUAACGCGUUAAGUAGACCGCCUGGGGAGUACGGUCGCAAGAUUAAAACUCAAAUGAAUUGACGGGGGCCCGCACAAGCGGUGGAGCAUGUGGUUUAAUUCGAUGCAACGCGAAGAACCUUACCUACUCUUGACAUCCAGAGAACUUUCCAGAGAUGGAUUGGUGCCUUCGGGAACUCUGAGACAGGUGCUGCAUGGCUGUCGUCAGCUCGUGUUGUGAAAUGUUGGGUUAAGUCCCGCAACGAGCGCAACCCUUAUCCUUGUUUGCCAGCACUUCGGGUGGGAACUCCAGGGAGACUGCCGGUGAUAAACCGGAGGAAGGUGGGGACGACGUCAAGUCAUCAUGGCCCUUACGAGUAGGGCUACACACGUGCUACAAUGGCGCAUACAGAGGGCGGCCAACUUGCGAGAGUGAGCGAAUCCCAAAAAGUGCGUCGUAGUCCGGAUCGGAGUCUGCAACUCGACUCCGUGAAGUCGGAAUCGCUAGUAAUCGUGGAUCAGAAUGCCACGGUGAAUACGUUCCCGGGCCUUGUACACACCGCCCGUCACACCAUGGGAGUGGGCUGCAAAAGAAGUAGUGAUGAGUUU